GUGUUUGAACAUAUGCUUCAACUUUGGGACCUUUCAGGUACUUUUUUGGAUCCAUCCAAAGCUUGUGUUUUUGGUUCUCAAAUUGCCCUUCUCUUGGAAACUAUCUACUGCCUACACGAAGUCAAUAAGGUUUGGGGGUUUGUUCUCCUAAACAACAGGAAUCACUGGAGCUUAUAGAGGAGAGGAGUGACAUAGUCAUAUCUAUGUCUCUUAAUAUAAUUUUGGCAGAAGUGUGGAGGUUCAACUGAAAAGAAAAGCCCAGUUAUGACACUCAUCUUCUGGGGAGCUUGCUUCUGUGGAAAAGGAACCAUCUCUACCAACUGCCAAGUGACUGAAGCAGCAGAGGAGAUAGCAAAGAUCCUGAAUUAGUUCAGGAAAGGCCUUGGGAAGAGCAGAGUCCCUCAAACCACCAAACCUGCUUCCAAUCCAACUCCUACAGCUGCUACAUAGGGUGGCUCAUACUGGACAGAUCCUCUAUUGCAAUUUCCUGACACAAGGCUUUGCACAUGCCUGGAAUGGAUUCUAGUUCCCCUGUUCUCUUCCUGUUAUAAAGCUUCCUUCCUUCCUUCAGGGUUCAAAUUAAAUGCCAUCUCCCACCUGAGUCCCACAUAGUAAAAGAGGGAGCCCAGGACUCUGUACCAUGGGGCUAUUGAUCCUGCUUCCAACCUAGGCCUCUCAGCCCAUAGACACUGACCUGGCAAUUAUUGAAGGUGCUGUAACUCUCACCUCCUCAGCAGCCAGAGCUAUUUAAGACUCAGAAAAGAGAGUUCUUGCCACUCGGACCCUUUGCACUGAUGUUUCAACAUAAAAAACUGAUAGUUGGCAUAUUGGAUAGAGCACCAGACCUAAAGUAACAAAGACCUGAGUUCAAAUCCAGCCUCAAACACUUACUAGUGUGAC